rnacentral:rRNA from 1 species
GAUGAACGCUGGCGGCGUGCCUAAUACAUGCAAGUCGAGCGAACAGAUGAGGAGCUUGCUCCUCUGACGUUAGCGGCGGACGGGUGAGUAACACGUGGAUAACCUACCUAUAAGACUGGGAUAACUUCGGGAAACCGGAGCUAAUACCGGAUAAUAUAUUGAACCGCAUGGUUCAAUAGUGAAAGACGGUUUUGCUGUCACUUAUAGAUGGAUCCGCGCCGCAUUAGCUAGUUGGUAAGGUAACGGCUUACCAAGGCAACGAUGCGUAGCCGACCUGAGAGGGUGAUCGGCAACACUGGAACUGAGACACGGUCCAGACGCCUACGGGAGGCAGCAGUAGGGAAUCUUCCGCAAUGGGCGAAAGCAUGACGGAGCAACGCCGCGUGAGUGAUGAAGGUCUUCGGAUCGUAAAACUCUGUUAUUAGGGAAGAACAAAUGUGUAAGUAACUAUGCACGUCGUGACGGUACCUAAUCAGAAAGCCACGGCUAACUACGUG